rnacentral:rRNA from 1 species
UACGUAGGGGGCAAGCGUUGUCCGGAAUCAUUGGGCGUAAAGAGCGUGUAGGCGGCCCGAUAAGUCCGCUGUGAAAGUUCAGGGCUCAACCCUGGAAUGCCGGUGGAUACUGUCGGGCUCGAAUCCGGAAGAGGUGAGUGGAAUUCCUGGUGUAGCGGUGAAAUGCGCAGAUAUCAGGAGGAACACCAAUGGCGAAGGCAGCUCACUGGGACGGUAUUGACGCUGGAGACGCGAAAGCGUGGGGAGCAAACAGG